UCAUAUUUAACUUCGUUGAGGCGUUCAAUCUGUUGGUUCGUUCGAGACGUGAGUUUUCGUAAAAAUUAUUUACGACCUUUCGGGAACGUUGAGAUACGAACGGAGAGACAUAUUUUAGGAUCUCGUAUCGUUUAGAUAUCAUGUCUUUGAGAUGUCUGAGACCAAUGCGAUGGGUUUAGGGCAAGACCUAAGUUUACUCUCAGUUUUAAGGUUUGUUCGGUGACUAGCCGGCUAUCGGUUUUCCUGUUGCAAUUUCUACCUGAUUCGUAUCGAUUUAAAGUCCGCGAUAGGUUCUCGGCUUAUACAACUUGUAUGGUACGAAUCGAGCAUCUUUCCAGAGAAAAUUUUUAAGCCAACUGGAAGUGCUAGACCAAAAUUUCAGAUUUUUUUUUGUAG
rnacentral:lncRNA from 1 species